rnacentral:rRNA from 1 species
ACAGCAGUCGCCACGGUAAUACAGAGGGUGCGAGCGUUAAUCGGAUUUACUGGGCGUAAAGCGUGCGUAGGCGGCUUCUUAAGUCGGAUGUGAAAUCCCUGAGCUUAACUUAGGAAUUGCAUUCGAUACUGGGAAGCUAGAGUAUGGGAGAGGAUGGUAGAAUUCCAGGUGUAGCGGUGAAAUGCGUAGAGAUCUGGAGGAAUACCGAUGGCGAAGGCAGCCAUCUGGCCUAAUACUGACGCUGAGGUACGAAAGCGUGGGGAGCAAACAGGAUUAGAUACCCCCGUAGUCCCUGUCUCUUAUAC